rnacentral:rRNA from 1 species
AGUUCGGAUUGGAGUCUGCAACCCGACUCCAUGAAGCUGGAUUCGCUAGUAAUCGCGCAUCAGCCACGGCGCGGUGAAUACGUUCCCGGGCCUUGUACACACCGCCCGUCAAGCCAUGGAAGCCGGGGGUGCCUGAAGUGCGCUGCCGCAAGGAGCGCCCUAGGGUAAAACCGGUGACUGGGGCUAAGUCGUAACAAGGUAAC